rnacentral:misc_RNA from 1 species
AAGCAAACAACACAAAUGAUUACAUGGUGACUAUUUGUUACAGUUAUGAGUAGUUUUAGACUAAGACUUGGAAGAAAAAUUAUCUGGCAGCUGGGGCUAAGCAAUCAUUUGAUAAGUGAGGGCUCUCAAUCUCAAGGAAACUCGUGAGUAAUGUUUUUCUUGAAGAUUGUGCCUUGGAGCUCCCACUGCCAGAAAGUUUAUGGGCUCCAUCACUUCCCUUCUCUAUCUUGAUGCCUUCUUGUAUUGCCAGAAUUACUUCCUGCAUCUUUGGCCUGGAAACUGCACGUUGUUGAACACAUUGGAUUGCAACUUCAGCAAUCCUCCAGAUUGAUUCGAUUUUUGCAUUCCCUAUUAGUACAGGAUCCACAAUGCUCACCACAUCUCCUUUACGAAUCAAGGCUCUUGCCCAGUGAAUAAUGUUCAUUUCAGAACCAAAAUCUUCUGUUGAGACAGGUUUUUUUCCAGUGAUAAGUUCUAGGAGAACAACCCCAAAACUGUAGACAUCACUCUUUUCUGUCAAUUGCUGAUUUGCAUAAUAUUCAGGAUCAAGGUAACCAACUGUCCCUCUUGCCACACUUGAUAUAUGGGUUAGAUCAUCUUCAGCUUGCCUUGAAAGUCCAAAAUCUGACACUUUUGCUCUCAUAUUGAUGUCUAAGAGAA